AGCAAUGGAGGAUUUGAGCUGUUCUGGAUUCAUUCUAUGAUGCUUAGAUCUCUCUGCUGAAGCUGACCCAGAAAUGUUGGAUUAAUCCCUGUAAUCCAUGUAUAACACCAUGUAACCCAGUGAUGCUUUCAGUUCCCAGUUUCCAGUUCUUGGCCAUUGAGAGAAGAAAGGAGUUUUACCAGGCACAGAUCUGAAACUACAUCGGAGAGCAUAAUAUGCUGAUGUCAAGGACAGAUCAUCAAAUGGCGAUCAGGAGAAGCAUCAAUGUGUUUGAAGAACCAAUUAGACAAACAGUGAUGAAGCCAAGAAAAAAAUAAGGCCCAGAGACUCAGGAGUAAAAUCAUUGGGCCAAAAUUUCAGUGAAGGUUCAUGGGUGCUGGGAGAAGACAUGAGAUCCCUGGACCAGAGGAAAGGAUGUUUUCAUUCACAGAGCAGCAAACAACAUGCGCAUCAGCAUAUUUGUGUCCAUUCCCCUUGCCCCUCAAGUCCCACAAGGAUGAUGCAGAUGUGCCCAAAUGGCUGCCUGCACAAACAGUGGAUUGCAGGACAGGAACUCCAACUGAAGUGACCUGAUCUUUUAACUGGAUAAUAAGCAUGCUUACCCUUUGCUCU